GUGUUAGCUUCGGCAGCACAUAUUCUAAAAUUAGAAUAGCACAAAGAAGAUUAGCAUGGACCUGGCACAAAGAUGACAUGAAAAUUAAUGAAGCUUUCCAUAUUUUU
ensembl:snRNA U6 U6 spliceosomal RNA